rnacentral:misc_RNA from 1 species
UUUUCAGGUGGUUAUAUGCAUGGUGAGGGGACAUAUAUUGGACCUGAUAAAGUGAUCUACAGGGGACGCUGGCGGUUUAACCUUAAACAUGGUUUAGGAUAUCAAAUGUAUCCCAAUGGGGAUAUUUUUGAAGGGUCCUGGAUGCAAGGAACCCCUGAAGGACCGGGUAAGUAUACAUGGGAUAACGGGAAUGUCUACUUUGGAAACAUGAAAGGAGGGAAAAUAUCAGGGAAAGGAACUCUCACUUGGAUUAACGGAGAUUCGUAUGAAGGGAGCUGGUUAAAUUGUGCAAUGCAUGGCGUCGGUAUGUAUACAUGGAGUGAUGGUAGCUGUUAUAUUGGUACAUGGACACAUAGUCUAAAGGAUGGAAAAGGAACAUUUUAUCCUAGUGGUAGCAGGCUUACGGCUGGUCAAGAAUUGUACCUCAAUGCAUUGAGAAAACGAGGGUUACUGCCAGAUAUGAGAAAACAAAGUCAAGUCUCCCAUAUCCAUCAUGCCGCUUCAGUUGAUAUGGGAAAUGUUAAAGUAAGUGGUAAACUUCCAGAGAGAAACCUAUUAAAUUUCGGUCAGUCGCGACCUACAAAUGUUUCUCUGGAAAGACGAUGGAGUCUUGAAGUAGCCAUUGAGAAAGUUAUUGGUCAUAAUUUAGAUGGAGACAUGGAGGAUGCUAUGAGUGCUCCAAUUUUGGAAAGAGAGUACAUGCAAGGCAUCCUAAUCAGUGAGGUUGUCUUAAAUGAGCGUUUUUCACCACCAUCCGGGAGAGCCAGAAGGAGGCAAAAGAGAUUUGUAAGGGAAUUAAAGAGACCAGGUGAAGCAAUCAUAAAGGGUCACAGGAGUUAUGAUUUAAUGCUAAGUCUACAGCUUGGGAUUAGAUACACUGUGGGGAAAAUUACACCUAUACAAAGACGAG